rnacentral:rRNA from 1 species
GAAACGGGUCAAUAUUCCCGUACCGGACAUGAUUGCGAUGGGGGGACGGAGAAGGCUAGGUGAGCCAGGCGUUGGUUGUCCUGGUGAAAGUGAGUAGGCUUGGGUCUUAGGUAAAUCCGGGACCCUUCAAGGCCGAGACACGAAACGAAGACACUACGGUGUCGAAGUCAUUGAUGCCACGCUUCCAGGAAAAGCCUCUAAGCUUCAGAUCAUGUGCGACCGUACCCCAAACCGACACAGGUGGUCAGGGUGAGA